AGAGCGAACGCUGGCGGCAGGCCUAACACAUGCAAGUCGAGCGCCCCGCAAGGGGAGCGGCAGACGGGAGAGUAACACGUGGGAACGUACCCUUCAGUACGGAACAACCAAGGGAAACUUUGGCUAAUACCGUAUACGUCCGUAAGGAGAAGAUUUAUCGCUGAAGGAUCGGCCCGCGUCUGAUUAGCUAGUUGGUGAGGUAACGGCUCACCAAGGCGACGAUCAGUAGCUGGUCUGAGAGGAUGAUCAGCCUCACUGGGACUGAGACACGGCCCAGACUCCUACGGGAGGCAGCAGUGGGGAAUAUUGGACAAUGGGCGCAAGCCUGAUCCAGCCAUGCCGCGUGGGUGAUGAAGGCCCUAGGGUUGUAAAGCCCUUUCGGCGGGGAAGAUAAUGACGGUACCCGCAGAAGAAGCCCCGGCUAACUUCGUGCCAGCAGCCGC
rnacentral:rRNA from 1 species